CGGCCACAGCGGGAAGCCAGGCGGCGACGCCGAGCGGAACCCGAAAAGCCGUCUCAGUUCGGAUUGGAGUCUGCAACCCGACUCCAUGAAGCUGGAUUCGCUAGUAAUCGCGCAUCAGCCACGGCGCGGUGAAUACGUUCCCGGGCCUUGUACACACCGCCCGUCAAGCCAUGGGAGCCGGGAGUGCCUGAAGUACGUGACCGCAAGGAGCGUCCUAGGGUAAGACCGGUGACUGGGGCUAAGUCGUAACAAGGUAUC
rnacentral:rRNA from 1 species